UCCUAGAAACGGCUCAGGCUGGUGACC
rnacentral:piRNA from 1 species